rnacentral:rRNA from 1 species
CCUACGGGAGGCAGCAGUGGGGGAUAUUGCACAAUGGGGGAAACCCUGAUGCAGCGACGCCGCGUGGGUGAAGAAGCGCCUCGGCGCGUAAAGCCCUGUCAGCAGGGAAGAAAAUGACGGUACCUGAAGAAGAAGCCCCGGCUAACUACGUGCAAGCAGCCGCGGUAAUACGUAGGGGGCAAGCGUUAUCCGGAUUAACUGGGUGUAAAGGGGGCGCAGACGGCGAUGCAAGCCAGGAGUGAAAGCCCGGGGCCCAACCCCGGGACUGCGCUUGGAACUGCGUGGCGAGAGUGCAGGAGGGGCAGGCGGAAUUCCUGGUGUAGCGGUGAAAUGCGUAGAUAUCAGGAGGAACACCGGUGGCGAAGGCGGCCUGCUGGACUGCAACUGACGUUGAGGCCCGAAAGCGUGGGGAGCAAACAGGAUGAGAUACCCUAGUAGUC